rnacentral:rRNA from 1 species
UACGUAAAAGACUAGUGUUAUUCAUCUUUAAUAGGUUUAAAGGGUCCGUAGACGGUAAAAUUCCAUCUGAAAUAGGAUAUGUUUUUACUAGAGUUUUAUAUGAGGAGGCGAGUAUUCAUGGAGGAGAGUUUGAAAUUUUGUGAUCCCAUGACGACUGGUAAGGGCGAAAGCAACCUUUUAUCUAAUAACUGACGUUGAGGGACGAAGGCUUGGGUCGCGAACAGG